rnacentral:rRNA from 1 species
UACGUAGGGGGCUAGCGUUGUCCGGAAUCAUUGGGCGUAAAGAGCGCGUAGGCGGCCAGAUAAGUCCGGUGUGAAAGUCAAAGGCUCAACCUUUGAAUGCCGCUGGAAACUGUCUGGCUAGAGUCCGGGAGGGGCGAGUGGAAUUCCUGGUGUAGCGGUGAAAUGCGCAGAUAUCGGGAGGAACACCGGUGGCGAAGGCGGUUCUCUGGGCCUGUACUGACGCUGAGGAGCGAAAGCGUGGGGAGCGAACAGG